CUAGGGAUCUUGCUAUGCGGGGGAGGGGGGGGGGGUGACAAACGCCAUGACACGACACUAAUACUUCUUUAAUGAACGCGUUUUCAGAGCCGUGGAUUCUUCGAGGCACCUGGGGGCGCGGGCACACCCCGCAUCGCCUCGCCCGUUGUCCCCGCCACCCUCCCCUGCGGGGAGUGAUGAGGCUGUCGCAAAUGGCCCGUCCAAUCGGCCCUAUGGAGCCACUCAAACUGGUUCUGCCGUGGGCGGAGCGCCGCUUGGACAAGGACGCUGUGGAGUGGGUUGCACUUGAGGAAGCACUCACCCCCCGCUCCCGCCCCCGAAUGGCACCACCCGCAGCCGGAGCCCUCCACUCCCCCCGGCGGCGACCUCUGUCACCGGACUGAGGAGAUUCGCGGAGCUGGCCACGGCCGGCUGAUAGCGCAGCAACAGCGACAACCUCUCCCUGCCGCAGGCCACGGCGCCCCCCAGCCUGCAAAAUUGGAGAGGUGGAGGCACGAGGCGGCGGUGUCAGGCCGUGUGGCC